UUCUAAACAGUCAUUCUAGGUAAAAUAAUAAAUAUCUGGACUAUUAACGUGUAAUUAGUAAUAGAGAAAUAUAACUGACCUGAAUAUGGAAUAGAAAGAAAACUAAGAACGAAUAAAGGUUCAAACUUAGAAUUUCAUCAAGUACAUAUCAACAUGUCCACCAGUAUAUAGAAAAGUGAUGACCAGCAUAAAAGAACAAAAGAAAUAUAGCGCCAAAAUAUAAUGACCAAUAGAAAUAAAGAAAAGGUGCGGUCCACCGAAGCAUAAAAAGAAAACCUUUGAAGUAAACUACAGUCAAACCAAAGUUACCCAAACCAGUAGAAAAUGUCGUAUGUCAAUAAGUCCAACUGUCAAAUACGUAAAUAAAAUGAACAAAGCAUAUAUAUAGACUAAUCAACUAAUUACAAUCUGUAAUUAGUAUACUAUACCCA
rnacentral:lncRNA from 1 species